GUGCCAGCAGCCGCGGUAAUACGGAGGAUCCAAGCGUUAUCCGGAUUUAUUGGGUUUAAAGGGUGCGUAGGCGGACCGGUAAGUCAGUGGUGAAAGCCUCCAGCUCAACUGGAGAACUGCCAUUGAUACUGCCGGGCUUGAGUACAGACGAGGUUGGCGGAAUUGAUUGUGUAGCGGUGAAAUGCAUAGAUACAAUCAAGAACUCCGAUUGCGUAGGCAGCUAACUAGGAUGUAACUGACGCUGAGGCACGAAAGCGUGGGGAGCGAACAGGAUUAGAAACCCGUGUAGUCC
rnacentral:rRNA from 1 species